rnacentral:rRNA from 1 species
AACGAACGCUGGCGGCAGGCCUAACACAUGCAAGUCGAACGCCCCGCAAGGGGAGUGGCAGACGGGUGAGUAACGCGUGGGAACGUGCCCUUCGGUUCGGAAUAACUCAGGGAAACUUGAGCUAAUACCGGAUACGUCCGUAAGGAGAAAGAUUUAUCGCCGAAGGAUCGGCCCGCGUCGGAUUAGCUAGUUGGUGAGGUAACGGCCCACCAAGGCGACGAUCCGUAGCUGGUCUGAGAGGAUGANCAGCCACACUGGGACUGAGACACCGGCCCAGACUCCUACGGGAGGGCAGCAGUGGGGAAUAUUGGACAAUGGGCGCAAGCCUGAUCCAGCCAUGCCGCGUGAGUGACGAAGGUCUUCGG